UGGUUCUGGCAUCGAUGAAGAACGCAGCGAAAUGCGAUAAGUAAUGCGAAUUGCAGAAUUCCGUGAGUCAUCGAAUCUUUGAACGCAUAUUGCGCCCUCUGGUAUUCCGGAGGGCAUGCCUGUCCGAGCGUCAUUAUCAACCCUCGAGCCCGGCUUGGUUUUGGGUCCCGUCGGCGUCGCGGCUGGACGGACCCGAAAGGGAAUGACCGAACCCCCGUGGACCUCGGACGUAGCGAGCUUUUAGCAUGCGUUACCGCGGUCGCGGGGCUCUGGUCCGACCAACAUUUUUCUGAUUGACCUCGGAUCAGGUAGGGAUACCCGCUGA
rnacentral:misc_RNA from 1 species